rnacentral:rRNA from 1 species
AAAUGAAUAGACGGGGACCCGCACAAGCGGUGGAGCAUGUGGUUUAAUUCGACGAUAAGCGAGGAACCUCACCAAGGUUUGACAUAUAGCUGCAGACCCCUGGAAACAGGGGAGCCUUCGAGGGUGCUAUACAGAUGCUGCAUGGUUGUCGUCAGCUCGUGUCGUGAGAUGUACCGUUAAGUCGGGAAACGAGCGCAACCCCUAUCCAAUGUUUCAUGUGUCAUUGGAAACUGCCCGUUUUAAAUGGGAGGAAGGUGGGGAUGACGUCAAAUCAGCAUGGUUCUUACACCUUGGGCGACACACGUGCUACAAUGGGAUGUACAACGGGCUGCCAAACCGUAAGGUGGAGCAAAUCCCUUAAAACAUCCCCCAGUUCGGAUUGAGGUCUGCAACUCGACCUCAUGAAGUCGGAAUCGCUAGUAAACGCGAAUCAGCCACGUCGCGUUGAAUACGUUCUCGGGUCUUGUACACACCGCCCGU